rfam:Glycine soja cultivar W05 scaffold4364_1, whole genome shotgun sequence.
AUCUAGUGGUGAGGGCUAUUGGUGCAUAGCUUUUUAAAUCUCUCCCAGUAUUCAUAUAGGCUCUCUCCACUGAGUUGCCUAAUGCCUGAAAUAUCCUUUUUGAUGGU